UACAGGGGGUGCAAACGUUGCUCGGAAUUAUUGGGCGUAAAGCGCGCGUAGGCGGCUACUUAAGUCGGAUGUGAAAGCCCCUGGCUCAACUGGGGAAGUGCACCCGAAACUGAGUAGCUUGAGUGCAAAAGAGGGCCGCGGAAUUCCCGGUGUAGAGGUGAAAUUCGUAGAUAUCUGGAGGAACACCGGUGGCGAAGGCGACGUCCUGGACCGGUAUUGACGCUGAGGCGCGAAAGCCAGGGGAGCAAACGGG
rnacentral:rRNA from 1 species